UGGGGAAUAUUGCACAAUGGGCGCAAGCCUGAUGCAGCCAUGCCGCGUGUAUGAAGAAGGCCUUCGGGUUGUAAAGUACUUUCAGCGGGGAGGAAGGCGAUAAGGUUAAUAACCUUGUCGAUUGACGUUACCCGCAGAAGAAGCACCGGCUAACUCCGUGCCAGCAGCCGCGGUAAUACGGAGGGUGCAAGCGUUAAUCGGAAUUACUGGGCGUAAAGCGCACGCAGGCGGUCUGUCAAGUCGGAUGUGAAAUCCCCGGGCUCAACCUGGGAACUGCAUUCGAAACUGGCAGGCUAGAGUCCUGUAGAGGGGGGUAGAAUUCCAGGUGUAGCGGUGAAAUGCGUAGAGAUCUGGAGGAAUACCGGUGGCGAAGGCGGCCCCCUGGACAAAGACUGACGCUCAGGUGCGAAAGCGUGGGGAGCAAACA
rnacentral:rRNA from 1 species